CCAGCCAGAGAAGAGAAAUCUGAGUUUAACCCGAUCCUGUCAGAAGAGCGGGAGGAAAGAGCUCCGGCGGACAGGGCUCCCAGGCCCCUCCAGGACGAGGUUGGAGGACCAAGCGCAGAAGGAACAGAGGUACAGAGAAUGGCGUCCAGGCCUCCUUAAGGACUCUCAAUCCAUGAGACAGGAAGCCCCACAGGGAAGCAGUGGCCCCCCGCCCCCUAUCUCCUCACAUACAGCACUCUGUACCUUCUGCUCAUUUUUCUGUAAACCUAAAACUGCUCUAAACAAUGAAGUCCGCCACGCAGAAACUGCACACGGAUGUUGAGAGCAGCUUUACUCAUAACUGCCAACACUCAGAAGCAACCGAGAUGUUCUCCAACAGCUGAAUAAAUAAAUAAACUGUGAUACACCUAAAUAA
rnacentral:lncRNA from 10 species